UACAGAGGUCUCAAGCGUUGUUCGGAUUCAUUGGGCGUAAAGGGUGCGUAGGCGGCGCGGUAAGUCGGGGUGUGAAAUCUCGGAGCUUAACUCCGAAACUGCAUUCGAUACUGCCGUGCUUGAGGACUGGAGAGGAGACUGGAAUUCAUGGUGUAGCAGUGAAAUGCGUAGAGAUCAUGAGGAAGACCAGUGGCGAAGGCGGGUCUCUGGACAGUUCCUGACACUGAGGCACGAAGGCCAGGGGAGCAAACAGG
rnacentral:rRNA from 1 species